GGAGGAGGUAAUGUCUCUUAAACUGCCAAUUUUGUACUAUGGAAUAUACUGAUCACCUGUCUGUUCUUCCUUGAGGUAUAAGCUGUGAUUCUGCACUUCUGAAAAAAUGCCAAGGCUAUUCAACUGCAAAGUAGUAAAGACUGCCGGCUAGGACAUCCACUUAGAAAGUACCCCAGAAGUAGACCCACUUCAUGAAGCAGUCUGCACUGCUGCUACCAAGAAGCCUGCUGACCCUGUCAGAAAACAGAAGGCAAAGUCCUGCCUGGCCUGAAGCUAUAACAAGCCUCAAACUCACAAGAAAAGGAAGAAGUUGUGAAUUUUGCAAGCUUGUGGGAAGGAAGAACAGUGCAACCACAGUGGAGGAAUUCCUAUUCCUGCAGGAUUAAAAAUAUCGAUACGGAUCCUCCAAAGAAGAUACUGCAUAUAGGCCUCUAGCCUAUAUGUGGAGAACAAUGUGUUCCUUGCAUUCCCUAUGGGAAAACCUACCAGAACUAUGGGCACAUGACAGAUUUACCGAGGAGCAAGUUUGAGGGUAACGAGGACAGUCAACCCGAACAGCUGCAGAAGGCUCAAAAAUAUGACUUUCUAUGAAGACUGAAGCCCUAGUCUAUGGUAUUGGAAUCUGGCUGGCCUUCAGCACAGAGAGAAGAGGUUUCAGCCUAAGAAACAGCUGUACCACUAUGGUUUUCACUGUUAGUACUGCAUAGCAAGCUCAUUGACAGUUUCAGAGAAACAAGAGGACAAACAUAAAACUGAUCUUCCAUUCAUACAGUGACACCUUGGAAACUGAAAGAUCUAGUCAAAUCCAUAUGCAUUCAGCAUGUUUGUCCCAAAGGAGAGCCAGCCUAGACCCACGUUUGGACAGAAUGCAGUUUACCGUAUGCUACCAUGACUUUCAGUGGCAUUCAUUUCUGUAAAAGUGUCAUGGAUCAUAAGACAUUACUCUACCCCAAAGAACAGCUGUAGUCAGUUUUGGAAGACAGUGUCCUGGUGGGAGCUCAAGACAGAGCAUAUAUUCGCUUAGGAAAUGUCACUGUGACACUUCCAGAACACUGUUCAAGCCCUCUGCCAAGCUCUUGUGACGUGGAAGAGGCCUAUCGGAAAUGGUUGUGACUAUAAAGAAGCGUUAAGAGUCUACGUAGUCUACUAGACCAAGCUUUAUCCUGGUACCUAGAAAGGGACCAAACCGAAGCACCACGUCCAGGGAAAAGGAAAUGAAGAUAGACUACUAGCAAGCGUGAAACAUCCCUGGAGCAUACCUAUUUCAACAGCAACAACUUGGAGGCCAAAAAAAAGAGAUUUCCAUUCUUCACAAAACCUCAGAGUGUCAGCAUUUUCUUCUGGCUUUUCCUGGAAAACACCACUGUUUUCAGACUAGCUCUGCUGGGAUAGAAGAGUUGUACUGCUCUGGUUAGGUUACCAAGGUGAGCGGACACUUCUGCAGCACUGUCAGGCUCAUUCGGCCAGUCAUUUAGCAGAGCAAUGUUGAAAAAUAAUUGCAUAUUUAUCCUCCCCUCCCCGAGUCUUUAAAUAUGCAGGGAAAAAGUCACAGAAGAACCAAUAAUGUGACAAGAAUAAUGAGGCUGAAGAACAGUAGUACAGUGUGAACUCAUAUAUCUCUUGGUUUCAUUUACAUGUUUAGCAGCUGCUUGUUUUUCCAUCAUAGAAAGAUCAUUAUGUGGCUUGUAAGAAGAGAGGGGAAGUCUGUUCACCUUUGGGCAACUAUCUCU